rnacentral:tmRNA from 1 species
GGGGGUGUACUGGAUUCGACGGGAAGAGUAAAUCCGUACGUGGCAUGUCGAGGAUGUCCAAUGGUUCUCGUUAAACAUCCAUUAUGGACUAAAUGUAAUUGACAACAAUUACUCAUACCGCUUAGCAGCCUAACAGCCUAAGCCGUUCCAUGGGUGGCACGCCUGUCUGUGCCCAUUCGGAGCGACGAUUCCGACAGGAUAGUAUAUACUGGCCGUCUGUCUAGUAUGUAUGAAAUUUUUCAGACUAGCUAUAGUUCACUGGGUUACUGGGUUCGUUCUAUGGCGAAAUUUAAUCAGUAACUAAACAUGUAGAUAUGUGCAGGACUGCCUUUUCGGACCGGGGUUCGACUCCCCGCACCUCCACUU